rnacentral:misc_RNA from 1 species
GAAAUGCGAUAAGUAAUGUGAAUUGCAGAAUUCAGUGAAUCAUCGAAUCUUUGAACGCACCUUGCGCCCUUUGGCUAUUCCGAAGGGCAUGCCUGUUUGAGUAUCAUGAACACCUCAACUCUCAUGGUUCGCCGUGAUGAGCUUGGACUUUGGGGGACUUUGCUGGCCUGCGGUCAGCUCCUCUCAAAUGAAUCAGCUUGCCAGUGUUUGGUAGCGUCGCGGGUGUGAUAACUAUCUACGCUUGUGGUUUUCUACCAGAUAACCUUCACUGAUGGAGGUUCGCUGGAGCUCAUAAAUGUCUCUCCUCAGUGAGGACAGCUUUUCGAACGUUUGAUCUCAAAUCAGGUAGGACUACCCGCUGAACUUAA